rnacentral:tRNA from 1 species
CGGCCUGGUGGCGGGCGGGAUCGUGGCGGCGGUGCUGUGGUCGGUGGCGAUGAUCGUGAUGCUGACGCCGUUCGAGACGGCCGGGCGGG